CCCCCUUUUUAUUUCUUUGUUCUCUAUUCACUUUUUAUUUCCCUUUUUAUUAUUCAAGUAUUCUCAAUUUAAAUUGUGUGGUUGAACCCGGAUCCAGGCCUCUUGGCCCUCAUCAAAACUUCGCUUUGUUAACGGAAAAAUCCGAGAGCUCCCUUGGACAAAAACAAAGACACCAACCAGGAUAACUUGGAGCAAAACAGCAGCCUGUAGGCUUGGCCUUUAUUGAACUGUUGCAACAGGGUGCUCCCCUCACUUGCAGGAGAGAGAAAGGACACAGAAAAAUGGUGUGCAAGGCCUUAUAAAGACUUUUGACAUUCCCACCCUGUAGGUCAAGCCCACCCCCAGAAACAUCACGCAUACAUCACAGAAAGGAGGGGUUGAGGGAGGAGUUGUGGUGGUAACCUGAGUGUCCUGUCACCUGGCUGGUUCCCCCUUUCCCCCUCCCCAUGAGUACUUUCCAGAUGACGGAGGGGAGUUGGCAGUUUCCUGCCCCCAGAGGGAAGAUCUGAUCAUUGUCCUUUGUUUCAGUCCAUGCUGAAUCCACUCCCACAUGCAAGUUCUUUGUGAUCUUGAUGGUCUUCUGUCUGGGACCAUCAGGGUUGGCAUAGCAACUGGGCAGGGCUCCUGUGGAUGUGCUGGGAUGGUGAAGGGAUUAUGGCUGACCAGUAUCAAACCUUCCCCAUUUUGUAGUCCUUCCUUCAUGGAGUAAAAUAAAAGUGGAACAGUGCAGAUCCGAUGUAUGGUGGAUUUUCUAUGAAUUUAUAACAGAAGCCUAGCGUAUGUCGUGUGUGAGUGUGUGAGUGUGUGUGUGGGUGAGUGUGUGUGAAGUUUGUGCAAACUGAAUGAUGGGGGGGGGUUUCCUGCGACAAGGGAGAGAGAGACCCGCCCCCCCCGCCGUUUCUGGGAGAGCCCUCCUUUCCUUUCCUUUCCCUUCCGCUCCCCUCCCAAGAGGCUCCCCCUUGUGUCUCUCUGUGUCUCUGAGGGACGAGAGAGGAGGCGCCCCUCCCCCCGCCGCUUCUUCCCCUCAACGACGUUUCCCGCCUUUUCCCAACUGCCUCGCCUCCGUUUUGGCGCCAAGGAUUCCGGGCAGACCAGGCGGCGCUUUCCCGGGGCUUGAGGGGCGGAUUUCUCUUCAGGCCUCUCGCUUUGCAAGCUCCUCUCUCUUUGGAAAGGCGGGAUGAAAACUCCCUUCGCCUCUGCCUGCAUCCCUCGCAGGACUGAAAAGUCCGAUUUCUUUCCAUUUGCUACGUCUAAUGUCCGCUUUGGGUCUAGUUUGCCGCUGGCAUAAAGUACCUCUUUUUUCAGCUGAUCUGAAGGUCUAAAUCAUUGGCCCAAAGCUGCUUUAUUGGUUAACCAUUUUCCAUGGGUCCUUUGUACGUGGGUCUCCUGAAAGCUUAUUACAGUAAAUCUCAUUUUGGCCUCCCCCCAAGAUCGCGAGUGCGAUUCAUUCCUUGCCUGGGACACUUCUUCAUCUCCCUAUUUUCCUGGUGGGGGAAAGGUGAUUUUCGGGGGGGGAGGGGUCUCCUGACUGGGAAGCCCCCCCUCCCCCCCGCUGAGCUGGAGGGUGUCCCUUGGGGGGGUGUCUUGAGGGAGCCAUUGCUGAGCCCAAGGCACCUCCCGCCACUAGGCAGCCCUUCGCUUCUCCUCCCUCCCAGGAGAUAAGGGGGGAGGGAAGGGGGGCAGCCCCUAGAGCGCAGGCGCAGAAGCAGGAAAACUGAAGGCAGGGAGAGGGAGGGGAGGACUCGGGGCGCUCGGCUUGUCAAGGGUUAAAAGGAGCAGAGCGGGAUUCCUAGAGAGGACAGGAAGUGAAGGGGGUGAAGGUCCUCCAUGGGUAAAUUCCCCCCUCCCCCUCCCUUCCUGCUUUCUUCUCUCUCCAUUGCAAAAGCCCCUCCUGGACUCGGGUGAGUCUCCUCUCUCUUCCCCCUGAGGGUGCAAUGGGGAGAAGGGGGUCCCAGGGGGGCAGGGAGGGGGCGUGGGGGGUCCCUGCUCAGAUCAUGCAUGAUGGGGGGAGACCCCCAAGUCAGGGAGCAGAGGGUCCUCCCUUGUCCUCUCUGCCAAGCCAGGGAGGGGCCAAGUCGCAGGAAAUAUGCAGCUCUGCUCUUCCUUGGGAUCCAGAUGCUGCCUUCCUUUUGGGGGGAGGGGGCUUUGAGUCAAGAAAAUAAACCCCCUUCAGAUGGAGGGAAAAGUCACAUUUAAGAACAGAGGCUGCAGCCAGACGGGAACAUUCCCACGUGGGGGGAGCGCAGGGAGAAGAAAAGCCCGUCUGCAUCUGCAGCACCACUGCAUCUCCAGACCACUUCCUGUGUCCCAGAUGCAACAAAACAUGUCUCUCCCCCAGAUCUCACUCCCAAAGAAAACACUCUUCCAUUGUCUCCUAAGACAGGUGGAAGCCAACCAGCCAACCAUUCCCUCCCCUCACAAUGCACAAUGGGGCUUCCCCUCCCCUGACGUACCACUUUAGAUAAUGGGGCCUCCACUACCACCGCCGUGCGAUUUCUGUUCUUAUCCUGAAGCAAAGUUCUUAACCCGAGGUACUAUUUCUGAGUUAGCGGAGUCUGUAACCUGAAGCGUCUGUAAACCAAAGUACCACUCUACCCAUCAUUUAAAUACACAACAAAAUUGUUACAGAAAAGAACAGAGCAAUGUUUAGAAAAAUAUCAUCUUUCUUCUCCCUUUUUCUCUUAGGGUCCAGUGUGCCUUGAAGACGUAGCUGUUCCUUUCACAGAGGAGGACUGGGCUUUGCUGGAUCCUGACCAGAGAGCUCUGCAGAAGGAAGUCAAGGAGGAGAAUCCUGGGAUCGUGGCCUCUCUGGUAAGGCUCCCUGCUGGAUCAUAAGAUCAGUUUUGAAAUUCCAUACAGAUCUCUGAAGGACAAGCCUCCUCUAUUUUGAGGGAGCCCCAUAGCGCCACCUACAGCAUCUGAGAUGUUAACACACCCACAACUCUCCUGGAAUGGAAAACUCAAUAGGAGAUGUAUCUCCUGUUCUGUCUGGGAAUAUUCUUCCACCAGUCCUGCCUUUUCCAACCGUGAGGAGGCUGGUCUGAGCUGCCCAGGCCUUCUUCAAUGUAGGCUUCAGAGAUCUUAGGGA
rnacentral:lncRNA from 1 species